AUAUACAAGCACAAAUUGAAAAAUUGAGUCCAGGUGAUAAUAGUCGGGGUGACUUAAAAGAUAUUUUUAUCACUGUCAAAUCGUGAAUCCUAAAGUGCAUUCAUAAGAAGCAGCCUCAACGCCCCGAUGAGCGUCGAUGAUGCUUCGAUGCUUCCAGUAACUUAUGGACUUUCGAGGCACCCUAUCUGGUUAUUACCCAUCCAGCGGAGAAUCCCAUCGGAGCUUAAAUCUUGCGCUCUAAUAUCGAAUGCUGGAUUACAACUAGCAAAAUGGAACUCAAACCAUGAGAAGCGGAGAAAAGGAAACAAAGAAGUUAAAAUAGAAGUCGACGAUGAGGAGAUAUCGAAGGAUUGGAAACCUCGUAUGGACACCUAUGAACUAACCACAAUUGAGGUGAUGACCAGACGCUCAAUAGUAUCGGUGGUGCCCAGAAUUUACGAUCCGCUUGGCAUGCUGAGCCCAAUGAUCAUCAGAUGAAAAAUUGGGAUGAUCCAAUUACGCCUGAACUUACAAUCGGACUUUUCCCAAUUGCACAGGAUUGAAAUUUCACGCUAAGUAAAUAUAGAUGCUUACAGACUAUUUUCAAUUCAUGGAUUUGCCGAUGCAU